GACUGACCACCCUGUAGGACUAACCACAAACAAUAAUGCACCAGAUACAACCCUGUUUUGUAUUGUAUAUUUAUUAUUUUAAAAAAUGUUGUAUGAAGAAAAUAAUAUCUGCCAUUUGACAGAUGCUUUUUUUAAACACUCAUUAGUGGCCCAAGUGGGAAUCAAACCUUAUACCCUGUGUAAGUGCCUUGCCCUAUUUAUAGGAAUACUAAUACUUUUAAUAUUUUUACGUUCUUUCAAAGUCAGUGUGUUGAUGUGUGUGUGUGUUGGUGUGUUAUUGUGUUGGCCUGUGUGUGUGUGUGUGUGUGUGUGUGUGUGUGUGUGUGGGGGUGUGCGUGAGUGUGUUUUCACGGGGCAGUCUAUGUGCGUAUAUGUUACAGGACAAGGUAUGUGUCUAUUAAAGGAACUGUAUGGUGUGUGUGUAAUGGGCAAAGUCUGUGUGUGUGGGUGUGAGUUACAGGGGAGGAUGUCUGUGUGUGUUACGGGGCAGGGUGUGUUUGUGUUACAGGGCAGGGUGUGUUUGUGUGUUACGGGCCAGGGUGUGUGUGUAAAGUAAAGGGGGGGUAGUAUGAGGCGAGUACAGGCAUGGGAUGGUACGACAUCACUCUACAGCCUACAGGUAUCAAACUGGGGGCGGAGCCUACAUGUAGGGGGGCAGAGCUGACAGGUAUCAUACUAUGGGCGGAGCCAACCUGCAUAUGGGCUGAGCCGUACUGAAUGGGGCCGUAGCCUACAGGUAUCAUACUGGCGGAGGGGCCUACGGGUAUCAUACUGGUGGAGGGGCCUACAGGUAUCAUCCCGGUGGCAUAGUUAGCCAAUGGGAGGAGGACUUCCACAUAUUGACCUGUUUCUGGAUCAAACAGGGUUUUGACCUGGCGUUGGGUGGGCGGCAUUGUGGAUACAGGCCCUGCAUUCGUCAACCCAACCAGACCUCCUCCAGGCCAGAACCCCUGCAGGGCAAACAUGAACUGCUGCUGCUGAAGCAGCUGAUGCUGUUGUAGUUGUUGGUGGUGUAGUUGUGUUUGAUCCAGUUUGUGGGUGGCAUGGUGGUUGGAGAUGCUUUGGGUGGAGGUAUUCUGGGGGGAGGUGUUCUGGGUGGAGGUUUUCCGGUUGAAGGUGUUCUGAAUUGAGGUGUACUUGUUGGAGAUGUUCUGGUUGGAGGUGUUCUGAAUUGAAGUGUACUUGUUGGAGAUGUUCUGGGUGGAGGUGUUCUGAAUUGAAGUGUACUUGUUGGAGAUGUUCUGGGUGGAGGUGCUGAUAAAGCCCUUGUAAUCGUCUGUAUGAACGGGAGGAUCCUUUCCUCCUCUAGCCUUCUGCUGGGUAGAGGAAGAGGAGACCACAGUGGGGGUGUCGGGGAGGCCCGUAGGUUGGGCGUACCCUGUCCCGAGGAUGGGGGUGUAGUUGUAAACAGGGAGUGGAGGCCGACCAAUUUUUCCAGAUUCCCCAGCUGAUCCCUGCUGGGGAAUCGAACCCCUGACCCUCCCGGAACGCUGCCCCCCCCCCUCAGUGAUAGGCCCCAGCUGACACGUCUGAUUGGCUGCUGCUUGUUUUCUGAUUGGAGUGCUGCAGUUAGGGAACCUGCUGCCCUCAAGUCUCUCCAGUGAUUGGGGAAGAGCUGUUGCCACGGUAGCGUGACUUUGGGAAGUCAAUGGAUGACUCUUUGUGGCCUCCUUGGUGUCCUUGACCCCCACAGCCUGCUGGUAGCUUGGGGGGGGGCUAUCCUCUGCGCCAAUCACCUUGUAUGUCACAUGGCUCCAGCCAGUAGCGCGGUGGUGUGUCGUGGUUGCAGCGGAGGAAGUGUUGGUGAAGGAGAGGCGGCCCGUUGUUUGAACCUGACUCUUGAUAUCCCUCACAAUAUGGACUGGUCCACCCUGAACCAGGCUUGUACCUCCUACUCCAUGCCUAAACUUUGGUUGGUUGCCUGGGGUUUGGCAGUUAGGGUGGUUUGGGAUCAGAUUACUGGCAUACUUGGCUGGUCCUCUUUCUCCUUGCAUUUUCUUGGACAAAACCUCCUUGAUUAUGCAGGACGCCAACUUGGUUUUUGUUUCGUCCAAAGAAAAUGACUUCUGGAGCCUUGGUUUACUGUUCCUACCUGGUCCUAGGAGUUCUAGGACAGAGGGAGAAGUCAGAAUCACAACGAGAUGUAAGGAACGUUAGCUAACAGUAGAAUUGCAGUGUUACAGUUGCAUAGAUCCCAUUCGUAUGAGGGGAAUACACUUUUAAUCACUUUCCAAAGAUGUCCAAAUAGUCGCUCACUCAAAACGAGUGCCAGUUAUAACACAAAUCUCCCUCCUCUUGCCUCAUCUGUCCUGUCACCUAUCCCCUCACGUGAACCCUCGAGCUCUGAGUCUGACUCAGUCCAGUCUGACAGCACCAGCGUACGGAUGGCUGAAAGAGAAUGGUGCAACUCCAAGUGCCCUGAUGUCCUUCUCGCCUACCAUGCUCUCCUCUUUUCUGCCUCCUUAUCUGAAGCAAAAAGCUCCUUCUUCCAAUCUCAGGUUCAGUCUUCUUUCUCAAGGUCCUGGUCAAACCUACAGCCCAGCCUCCCCUACUGCUUCUCCCUCUAUACUAAGACGAAUGCUCCACAAAACCUUGAUUGCUGUCCUGGCUGACAUCCCCCACUGACGUCAGGACACGUGAAACCCUACAAAAUGUCAGCGCGAUGAUAAUAAUAAUUUAAUCAAUGAAUAAAACAUCUCCAUCUUCGGUUUCAUUUCAUGUAAUCGCAUGAUUUUUAUACUGUUUGGGUUAUAUGUUUAUGGUUGAGUGCACUAGUUGUAUUUUGCUUUGGACAAAAGCAUCAGCAUUUGUCCAAAGCUUCAUGUAAUGUAAUAAAAGAAAUGGUAGUGUGUCUACAAACACAAAUAAUUUAGCACUAUGUUUGGCUCUGUGAUUAUAAGGCUAACUGUUAUGUGCAGCUGACUUCAAGUGCUUCAUUAUAGAAACAAGAGAUAGAUAUGUUUUUAUUCAUUUAAUUCUUAAGACAAUUUUUUGUAUUUUUUUAGUUGUUACUUGCACUCAUUUUUAACAAGCAAAUAUUCAGAACAUAUCGUAAAUCUUUGAUAAGUACGAUGGCUCAUUGCAUUCACUCAAUAAUAAAAAUUUCACCAGGUUAUCUCAUAAUUAUGAGAUAAUUAUCUCAUAAUUAUGAGAUACUAUCUCAUAAUUAUGAGAUAAUUAUCUCGUAAUUAUGAGAUACUAUCUCGUAAUUAUGAGAUAGUAGAGAGUAGUGACGCUUGCACAGAAGCAUUCGGCCGACAUCUUUCUUUAUUCAGGUUGGAAAUAGUAACAAAGUUACGCCAUUAAAUGCGUUUAUGGAAACAUUUUUAGCGAGAAAUGUGCAUUUUACUUUCAUAAUGUUCGCUCGGUGAAUGUGAAGGAUGUUUGGUUUGAUAGUUAUGACGAAGAGUGAACGCUCCGUUCACUUGCAUGGACAGAGUCUCUGGUUGCUAAGCAACCUCAACGUCUUGGCGGACUAUUUCUCUGCUGAUCAACACUACGAAUGCUGGAAACACACCAGACACACCAUGUGAAGUUAUUUAACCCGAUUAUUGUUAUUUAUAUCCGAGAUUAUUUAAUCUAACCCGAUCCAAGCUCUAUCAUGCACCCAAACACGGCGGCGUUUGGGUUUCCUUCCUGGGACUCCUAAAUCCAGCGCAGCCACAGGCGCGUAGCUGCGUACGUAGGACAAUUUUUGACACAAAAUGGUCAAGCAACAUUUUAGCUGCGUGACAUACGCACGUACAUCUAUAUCACGAAAGCAACCCUCAGCAAGCCUGGGACUAGUGCAACUGCACGGUUGACAGGUGAGACUGAUGAUGUCCAGCCCAAAAAUGCUCAAAAUCCACCUGGAAGCACCCAAUCCCGCCCAAUAUUAACUAAAUUCUAUUGCUUUCUAUGGCCAGAAAUCUGCAGAAAAACCCACCCAAAUACCCUUUUUACCCAUUUUUACCCGCAGACGGCCAUCCUAAGUAGCUCAAUUGGGUGGGAAACCGCCCAAUCUGGCAACACUACUGAUGGUCAGAACACCAGUUAUCUCAUAAUUAUGAGAUAA
ensembl:lncRNA